rnacentral:rRNA from 1 species
CCGGACCGGCGCACGGGUGAGUAACGCGUAUGCGACCUGCCCGUUGCAGGGGGAUAAUCGGGAGAAAUCCCGUCUAAUACCGCGUAACGCCGCGGGGCUGCAUGGCCCUGCGGCCAAAGGGAGCGAUUCCGGCAACGGAUGGGCAUGCGUGACAUUAGCUAGUUGGCGGGGCAACGGCCCACCAAGGCGACGAUGUCUAGGGGUUCUGAGAGGAAGGUCCCCCACACUGGUACUGAGACACGGACCAGACUCCUACGGGAGGCAGCAG